CAGUAGCCGCGGGAAUACGUAAGUGGCAAGCGUUGUCCGGAAUUAUUGGGCGUAAAGGGCUCGCAGGCGGUUUCUUAAGUCUGAUGUGAAAGCCCCCGGCUCAACCGGGGAGGGUCAUUGGAAACUGGGAAACUUGAGUGCAGAAGAGGAGAGUGGAAUUCCACGUGUAGCGGUGAAAUGCGUAGAGAUGUGGAGGAACACCAGUGGCGAAGGCGACUCUCUGGUCUGUAACUGACGCUGAGGAGCGAAAGCGUGGGGAGCGAACAGGAUUAGAUACCCCGGUAGUCCCUGUCUCUUAUAC
rnacentral:rRNA from 1 species